UGUCACUGUAAAUGUUACCCUCGUACCGCUACUAGAGAAGAGUUACACAACACCGUGAAACUGGAUAUCAGUACCUUUAAUAACUAAUAUCCUCUUAAUAGGUGACGUAAAGGUUCUGCUCAACUCGAAACCAAUAAGUUUUGUUACUAACCAAAGAUAUAUAUAGGCGGUGACUCGGCAGACGCGGAGCCGUGCCCAGCUCUGCAGCAGUUCCUGUGCACUUGCGGGCGUCAGUAUCGGCACAAGAAGAGUCUGUUAGUGCACCAGCGCUUUGAGUGCGGCAAGGAGCCCCAGUUCGCUUGCAGAUUCUGCGACUACAGAGCCAAACACAAGGCUCAAGCGAAGAUCCACGAGCACAGGAAGCAUUCCCAUCUCCUCCCUUGAUCGGUUUCUACAAGUUUGGCGAGAGAAAAAGUUUGCCUGCGCUCGCUGCGAGAGAUCUUACGUCCACAAGAAGUCCUUGAACCUGCACCAGCGCUACGAGUGUGGUGUAGAACCUCGCUUCGCCUGUCCUCAUUGUUCUUACAGAGCAAAGCAGCGUGGUGACCUCAAGAAACAUUUGGCGAGCCAACAUCGAUCCUUGUGGGACCCCUGGAUGGGAAUACCAUAACAAUGUCUUUAUAACGCCUCUUCCUGUAUUGUAAAUAAAAUACAGUGAAAUAAAUUAUCUGAUUUAUCA